rnacentral:rRNA from 1 species
UACGUAGGGUGCGAGCGUUAAUCGGAAUUACUGGGCGUAAAGCGUGUGCAGGCGGCUUGCCAAGUCAGAUGUGAAAGCCCCGGGCUCAACCCGGGAACUGCGUUUGAAACUGGCAGGCUAGAGUUUGGCAGAGGGGGGUGGAAUUCCACGUGUAGCAGUGAAAUGCGUAGAGAUGUGGAGGAACACCGAUGGCGAAGGCAGGCCCCUGGGCCAAAACUGACGCUCAGACACGAAAGCGUGGGGAGCAAACAGG